rnacentral:rRNA from 1 species
GACGAACGCUGGCGGCGUGCUUAACACAUGCAAGUCGAGCGGUAAGGCCCUUUCGGGGGUACACGAGCGGCGAACGGGUGAGUAACACGUGGGUGACCUGCCUUUAGCUCUGGGAUAAGCCUGGGAAACUGGGUCUAAUACCGGAUACGACUCCGCGGUGCAUGCUGUGGGGUGGAAAGCCUUGUGCGGCUGGAGAUGGGCCCGCGGCCUAUCAGCUUGUUGGUGGGGUGAUGGCCACCAAGGCGACGACGGGUAGCCGGCCUGAGAGGGCGACCGGCCACACUGGGACUGAGAUACGGCCCAGACUCCUACGGGAGGCAGCAGUGGGGAAUCUUGCGCAAUGGGCGAAAGCCUGACGCAGCGACGCCGCGUGAGGGAUGACGGCCU